rnacentral:rRNA from 1 species
CAAUAGCGUAUAUUAAAGUUGUUGCAGUUAAAAAGCUCGUAGUUGGAUUUCUGGUGGGAGCGAUCGGUCUGGCGCUUAGCGCGAGUACUUGCAUCGUCUCCGGCCAUCCUUGGGGAGAGUCUGUCUGGCAUUAAGUUGUCGGGCAGAGGAUCCUCAUCGUUUACUGUGAAAAAAUUAGAGUGUCCAAAGCAGGCUUAUGCCGUUGAAUAUAUUAGCACGGAAUAAUAAGAUAGGACUUUGGUACUAUUUUGUUGGUUUGCGCACCAAAGUAAUGAUUAAUAGGGACAGUUGGGGGUAUUCGUAUUCCGUUGUCAGAGGUGAAAUUCUUGGAUUUACGGAAGACGGACUACUGCGAAAGCAUUUACCAAGGAUGUUUUCAUUAA